rnacentral:rRNA from 1 species
UAUGGAGAGUUUGAUCCUGGCUCAGGACGAACGCUGGCGGCGUGCCUAAUACAUGCAAGUCGAGCGGGCGAUUCAAAAGCUUGCUUUUGAAUCGUUAGCGGCGGACGGGUGAGUAACACGUGGGCAACCUGCCCUGUAGACGGGGAUAACACCGAGAAAUCGGUGCUAAUACCGGAUAACACGAAAUGUCGCAUGACGUUUCGUUGAAAGACGGCGCAAGCUGUCGCUACAGGAUGGGCCCGCGGCGCAUUAGCUAGUUGGUGAGGUAACGGCUCACCAAGGCGACGAUGCGUAGCCGACCUGAGAGGGUGAUCGGCCACACUGGGACUGAGACACGGCCCAGACUCCUACGGGAGGCAGCAGUAGGGAAUCUUCCGCAAUGGACGAAAGUCUGACGGAGCAACGCCGCGUGAGCGAAGAAGGCCUUCGGGUCGUAAAGCUCUGUUGUUAGGGAAGAACAAGUAACGUAGUAACUGGCGUUACUGUGACGGUACCUAACGAGAAAGCCACGGCUAACUACGUGCCAGCAGCCGCGGUAAUACGUAGGUGGCAAGCGUUGUCCGGAAUUAUUGGGCGUAAAGCGCGC